CAGGCGAGAGUAUUGCAUCAGGUACUGGUGUGAUAUCGAAGCAACCAGUACUUGUGUUAUACUUACGCUCG
rfam:Atta cephalotes unplaced genomic scaffold scaffold00062, whole genome shotgun sequence.